rnacentral:lncRNA from 1 species
CUGUUGCUGUCUUAAACGAGGAAUGAGCCCAUCCCUUUCUUUUUCACUUUCAUUUCCCUUCUCUCGCUUAUUUGACCGCAUGAAUACAUAAAUUUUCUUAGUUUCAAGUUUCAUGAUUAUAUUAUUGUCUGUUUUUUCUGGAAAACAAUACUAAAGUGUGUUGUUCUUUUCUUUUUUUAUCUUAAAAAAAAUCAUUUGCUCCAAGAGAGAGGCUCUUGAAGUUGGAAAUUCCCCAUCGCUAACUAUGAACUUCUCAAAGUUAUUCCUGUGACCUUAAGUGUAAGAUUUUAAUAUUCUUAGUUCUCUCACCCAAAUUCUCUCCGAUAUCCUUUGAAAUUUUGUUCGGAGAGGGGUCAAAAGGAGUUCAUCCCGGCAAUUCGUCCUCCUAGUUCGCGGCCUCGAAAAUAAUUAGUAAUUACCCUCUUCUUUCAUUUUCAAUUCAGUUUUUUUUAGAAUUAGCGGUAAUCGCUUGAAUCGUCUAGUCUUUGUUUAAUUUUUGUCUUGGUCGCAUGUUAGAAUUUGCCUCCUUUUGCCUUCGAUUAGAAUCAGCUUGCAAAUGAUCGCAGGAAUGUAGUAAAACUAGAACAAUUUAACUGCCAACUAAAUUGGUCGAGCAGGUUAUCAAUUUUCGACGUUCGUUUUAAUCCUGUAUUCAUCUUUUCUUGUAUUAUGUAAUAUGUGGUUCAAAACUUAGCUGUAGUUGCUUGUUGUGCUUCCUAAUCCUUUAUCCAUAAUUUCUUAUUUCCUCUGUAGUCUGCUGUCCAAACUUAGCUGCAGGUGCCUAAUGUGUUUCGUAAUCCCGCAUCCAUAUUUUCUUGUUUAUUAUGUAGUGUGUUGCCUAGAACUCAUCUAUAUCAGUUCGUUGUGAUAUAUCCAAGAUCUGUUUCUUGUCUAGGUGUCGACAAAAGAGUGGAUACAGACAUGACGUUUUACAAUCUUGCGUCGCAAAGAUAAUGACUAUAAGCUGUGAUUUUUCUCGUUAUCCAACAUAUAGCUUAUGAAGACUCAACCUUUCCAGUGGUUGUCUAAAUGAGUAGUUGGUGGGAAGCAUCUUGAUACAUUUCUCUGUUUCAAAUACAGGAUUCAAUUUUUUUCCUUACUAUUUUCCUGAAAUCAGUUUUUUUUUCUUUCUAAAUUGUGUCGUCGCCGUGUUUUGUACUUAUAAGAGCAUGACGAAUCCACCUUUACGUCAAAACAAUGAAGAAGUGAUAAAAAGAUGUGAUACAACAGUGUGUUCUUACUGUGACCCUUUCGGCUUAAUCUUUACCUUAAAAACAUCGUAGUGCAUCUAACAUGAAUGUAUCAUCUGGUUUAAGCUCUUCGAUCAAGGAUUUAUUUCACUGCUUAACUUAUCCAUGGAUUGAUAGUCUUCAAUGGAUCUAACUAAUUAUUUGUGAUUCAACCUUUGUGGAACUUUGAAUUUUUUCUCUUAAACUUUUUUUCCAGAAUAGAUCUCUAUAAACUUAGCCGAGAAACCCACCACCUAUGCAAAACUGAAUGUCUUACUUCAGAUUAUUUCACUUGGACGUUUUUGACAAAUCUAUGUAAAUUUUUUUUUUUUUUUUGCGUUUAAGGAUAAGUUGCCUGUGUACAUCUGUUGAAACGCUGCCUGUACUUAUGAACGAUAAAGCUGAUGAUUAGCCUUUCUUUGUCGAAGUAAACUUUGGGUUCAUUGCUUAGAGGUGUGGAGGCAAACUCUUGAGUCUAAAGGGUUCAGGGUGAGCAUAAGCAAGACAGAGUAUGUGGAAUGCGUGAGGCGGGAGGAUGAGGUAGUAGUGAAGCGGGAAUCACAGGAGGUUUGUAAGAGGGAUAGUUUCAAGUAUCUCGGGUCCGUCAUCCAGGGUAACGGUGAGAUUGACGAGGAUGUCUCGCACCGUAUUGGGGCGGGAUGGAUGAAAUGGAAGCUCACGUAGGGGGUGCUGUGUGAUAAGAAGGUGCUGCCCAAGCUUAAAGACAAAUUCUACAGGGUGGUAGUCCAUCCGGCCAUAUUGUAUGGAGCAGAGUAUUGGCCAGCCAAGAACUCCCACAUCCAAAAAAUGAAGGUGGCAGAAAUGCGGAUGUUGCGCUGGAUGUGUGGGCUGACUAGAAGGGAUAGAGUUCGGAAUGAGACUAUCCGGGAGAAGGUUGGUGUGACUCCAGUGGAGUGCAAGAUGCGGGAAGCCCGAUUGAGAUGGUUCGAACACGUGAAGAGGAGGGGCAUGGAUGGAAUUACUUGGUGGGGGUUUUAUGCCCGGCAUGAUUCUGUGUUCCAUGUUUUAUUACGAAUCUGUGUGCUUUUUUCUGUUUUAUAUUACUUAUGGGUGCCGUAUUUAUGUUAUGUAAUUUUGUGCUGUGCUUUAGUAGGUGUUUGUGUGGUAUCUCGUGCCUUGAGCCGGGGGUCUAUCGGAAACAACCUUUCUACUUCUUUAGAGGUAGAGGUAUGGACUGCGUACAUCUUACCCCCCCCAGACCCCACUAGGUGGUAAUAUACUGGGUUUGUUGUUGUUGUUGUUGUAGUCAUAUUCAUGAUAUUAUUUGAUAUUUCAUGUUAUAGUCCUACACCGAAAGACAUUUUAAGACUUUGUAUAGACGAUCACAUUAGCCUUUCUAAUUAAGGCGUUAUAGUUUUUUUUUUUUUUUUAUUAUAUUCAUGUUUUAGUUUGACUAAAAGAAUGAAAUGGAGGUUUUAAAAGGUGAUCGGCUUGUGGAAGUGGAUGUUGACGAUGACUCGGAGGGUUGUUCUUUCAUUUCGUAUUUUUUCUUCCACCUUUUAAUAAUUAAGAUUGUAAGAAUGAUGUUAUAUUAAUUAUUGUUAUGUUCUCUCCAUGAAUUAUCUUUAUUUUGUAUUUUAUAUAAUUUCUAAUUGUUAUAAGUUUAUAAUUUCGCGCGAAGUCCGGUUACGUUCAUUAGUUAGCUUUUUAAGUUAGUGGCUUUUAAAGGCCAAUAACGUGAGAGGUUGCUGCAUGAGUUUAUUAGUUUGUGAUGGAUAAAUUUAGUCAUCAUUUUUCUUGAGAUGCAUGUAACUUCCUACUCUUUAUUUGUCCAUUAAAAUAUAUAUACUGAGUAGUGAGUCUUCUAUAUAAAUGUUUCUCUCUAAUUGUGGAUCAUGAAGUGGCUAGUGUUGACUCACCUAGGUUAUAGUGCCUAUCUUAUUUGGGUUAUGGUUGUUGACCCCUUUUUUGGGUUACCCUAUUUAAUAUUAUGAUUUGGUGGAUUGUAGAUUAAUUUGAUACUUUAGGUAGUCGGUGUGGUGUUUCUCACCAUCGCUUUGGAUUAGGAUCGGUUAUCGAUGAUGCUUGUUGAGUACACAUGUAUUUUUGUACUCACCCUUACUUUUCUUUACUUGUUCUUGUUUCCGUGUAGGUAUUGGAUAGAGCAGCAGUUUGUAGUUUAUUUUUUACUGUAUUGACAUUGCGUAGAUUGAGGUAGUGGUGGAUGGACUACAACAUACCCAAAUCUCUCCCUUACUAUCUUGUGCUUAUUUUUGCAUAAAAGAUAUCUUAGUAUACUUGUUACAAAUUUAUAUUAGAGGCUUGUAUUAGUGACAAUCAAAUUUGGGAAUGUAUCAUGGAUUCUAUUUCUUCUUUAUUUAUAUUUUUGGUCUAUUUCUCUGGUCUUCUGCUACUUUAUUCUUAAAUUUAGUUUUGGAUCGGGAUAGUCUUACUUUUAUAGGAGGGUGCAUAAGUGCCAUCACGUGCCUAUUUUGGGUCAUGACAAUGACACAUUAUCCAACAUUCAAUGUUUGUUCAGACUUUCUAGACUUUAUUGAGGGAUAUUUUGUUAAUUAAAAAUAAAAAAACAGAUUAGAUAAUGGAUAAACGCAAAAGAUAGAGGUCUCGUACCUGUUGUGUGAUGGAAUUGGUACAAAUAUCAAUAUUAUAAAAAAAAUUAUUACUAUAGAAUGAUGGAUUAUAAUUCGAGAAUGCAAAAGCAUAUGGGUGUUAGUUAAUGAUUUAUUGACUUGAUGCCUUAUAUGUAUUCAUUUCUCUUUAUCUAACCUAUAUUUCUAUUAUAGUUGAGGUGAAUAUAUAUUUCCUAUAUUUGAUUGAAAUGAGAUGCAUCAUCAACCUCUGUUCUAUUAAUAUUAUAUUAUACACAUGCAUUGGCAGGAGAUCGGGUGUGAGUAAAGGUCAAACACGUAGAAAUCAUCCAAGAUGUGAUCGGCUUAUGAUUAUGAGAUAGGAAAGUAGAAAUUAUUUGCCUGGAGAUGGUUUGAUUUCUAUUAUAAUGUGUUGAGAUCAUCUACAUAGGUAUGUGUAAACCAUUUAUGUUGGUAUAUGGACCUCUUGAGUCCCUUAUAGGUCACAAACUCUUUGUGAAUUUUUGAGUAGUAUCACGUAUAUACAAUUGAAAGAGUAUUUAUAGUGAAGGAAUAUCAUCUCAUUGAGUUAUAUCACAGUAUAUCCUCUAUGCAUACUUGAUUAUGUGGUUAAUUAAUGUUUGAACAUUAUGUGGCAUUGAUUAUUCCUAUUUUGGUGAAAUCUUAAUUAUUAAGUAUACUAUAGACUUGUAAAAUAUAGAGAAUGAUUUUAUCUCAUACUCUUAUCACUACUUCUUCGUUGUUGGUCUAUAAGACAUACUGGGUACACAUUAUUUCAUUCUAGUACUACAUUUGUUGCACUUUUUAUUGGUACAAAUUUGAUUUUGCGCACUAAUACAUUUCAUGGAGCUUUUUGAGUUUGAGCUUUGGGGGCAUUUUGAAGUUGUGGUGAGCUGCUUGGCUAUUCCAUAUCCAAAACCUUCAACUAUAUUUUUUUAAUAUAUUUUGUAAGUUAGUAAUAGAUAGGCUAUUUAUUACAUUUGGAUUCGUCAUUUUAGUUUCAGACCCGUAUCAUAUUGUAGAAGCUCUUGCACUUACAACACCAAUCGUUAGUGAUAUUUCAGCUAUUUUUGCAUUUUAAAUUUUGAAAGACUUAGUGUUCAAAAUAUUUAGUUGUCUCGUACUUUUCUAUUUGAUUAAUUAAAUUAAGUUGGUAACAAUAUUUGAUUGAUUUAUCUAUUGGUUAAGAGCAUAUAUGUCAUCAUGGCCUGUGGUGUAGGUUAUAAUAAUUUGGUAUUAGAGCUAUAGGUUCAUCAAUCUCAUGAGUACAAUAGCAAUGUUUGUUAAUUCUUAUAGAUUGGUAUAACGACGUCCUAUCAUUGAGAGGCUAUAAGACAUUUUGAAAACUUCUAUUCUUUCAUUCCUUAUCAUGCACACUUGGUACAGUUGGAACUCUAGUCUUGUUCUCUUAUUCUCCCCUAGAUAGUAAGGCUCAGUCAUUUGAGAUAGAAUAUCAAGAGCCUAUAAUACACCUAUGCCCAUUUCUAGGGGUGCCAUAUUAGGUAGAGGUAUGAGGUUAAUUUAAGGUAGAGUUCAUGUUGUAGUAGUUGCUGAAGGUCGAGUACUAAUAUCCACGUAGGGUCAUGUUAUGGUGGUAUUUAUUCAUCUACAUAUAGUCCACGGGGAUGAGUUAGAUCAAGUUGAGGAGUGUGGACUAGCUUAGGAACCACCUAGUUAGAUUUCCACUCCAUUAUUAAAGAUACUUUAGUCGUAUGUUUGGAUUUUUUAGGGGGAUGAAUUAGGCUGAUAUGUUGUAAGUCACCCCAAAUAGUUCAUUGACUCAUGUUGGGGUAAUAAUGCAAAACAGAUGGUUGCUCCAAGGCUUUAAACUCCAACAACAUAACCAUAUAUUAUAUUAGCUCCCUAUUUAGAUAGUAUGGUAUUUCUUGGUGUUAUAAUAUGUUUAGCCAAUAGGCAUGCUAUGAUCGUCGGUAAGAAGAAGAUUUUUGAGAAAUUAAGGAUGAUGAAUCCUUCGGCCUAUUAUGGUGAUUUAAAUAAGUAUGUGUAUGAGUUUAUAGUUAGCUAUCAUGAAAGAUUGCACAACUUUUUAUUAGUGAGGUCCCAUAGAGUUAAAUACAUAACAUUUCAAAUGAUUGGCCCUGCCAAACAAUAUUAGGAAGAUUAAAUUAAUAGUAGGCUAGGUGGGUCACCAACACAUUGAUGGAUUCAAUUUACUCAAUUAUUUCUCAAUAAGUUCAUUCCACUCAAUAAGAGAAAGCAUAAGCAAGAUGAGUUUGAGGGUUACAAUAGGAUGAUAUGUUAGUUACUAAGUACAUGACCAAAUUCAUGCCCUGGUUAGGAAAACAUUGAUGUUAUUUUCUAUUGAGGCUGAGAGAGUGAAGUGGUUUGUUAAGCGGUUGAUUAUUUAGAUUUUCAUGGAGUUUCUCAGGUCACCUCUUUUAGGGUUCCAUUCUAGAAGGUGGUAGAUUCUUUCAAGGAGUUAGAGAUGAUUCAUGAGGGAUUCGAGUAGAGUGAGGGAAUGAGAGUUUUUUACUCAGCUAAUUAUAGUAGUGCCCCACUUAGGAGUCGAGGUUACUCAAGGAGGGGUUACAAUCCUCAUUCUAGUAGUCUCAUUAAUUUUAUCAUGCUAGCAUCUUAGCUUGAUUAUGUAGGGAAUAGUACUUCAAGUUUGAUACAGACUUCAUAGGGUGUACCUUAAAAACUAUUAGGAUAUGGAGAACACUCCAUUUAUUCAUGUUUCUCUCAUCAGUCGAUGCACUAUAUGGGUUGAUUUAAGUAUGAUGACAUGGGACAUUUUGUGAGAUAUGGUCCCAGGCUCGGAUAUGGUGGUUCAUUUAGUUUUACGGAUUUGACUUCUAGGGUUGCAAAACCUUUAACUAGAGGAUGUGCAUAGAGCAACAAUGGUAGUUCUCAUUUGGGAAGAGGUUGAUCCUAAUUUGAAUGAGGUGGUGUCUAUAGAGGCUUAUAGUUUGAGGGAAGUCGUGCUUAGUAUUAUUAUUUUUUUUAUAUGCCAAAGGCAGAGGCUUCAAAAAUUAUUAUUACAAGUACCAUUCAAAGUUGUAAUCGGUCAACCAAAUUAUUAUUUGAUCUAAUAUCUACCUAUUAUUAUGUGUCUAUAUAUUUUAUUUUGAGUCUGGAUAUGUUAUGUAAGCUACUUGAUUUGCCUAUAUAGGUUUCUUCUCUUGAUAGGGAUUUUGUAGUAGUAGAUUGGGUAUUUCGGUUAUUUGUAGAUACUUUGAUGGGAUAUGAUACUCAAGUGGAUUUGUAUGGUAGAUUUUGAUGUUAUCCUUUGGAUGGAUUGAUUACUUUCAUACCACAUAAUUUUUAACUUCCUAACAUGACAAUUAUAUUGGUUAUGCGGGGAUUCCCAGAUGUAAUAUACCAGGUUUUGGCCUCUAAAAAUUUCUUGAGUUUUUCCAUCACUACCCAAGCAAUGACUCAUGUGAUGAGUCAUUAUCUCUUAUCAUGAGUCGUAGUGUGCCAAUCAUAGUCAUAAUAGUUAGGUUGCCUGAUGUUUCUGUCUUUAUCAUGACUAAGACCCUAUGAGUAGUAAGGUAGGGUCAUGAGUUAUGGUGAGGGAAUCAUGACCAUAAUAGUAUGGUUCCCAGAGUGUUCUUCUUUGUCUAUGAGUCAAGGUGGUGACUCGUGAUCAGUCACCACGAGUUAUUACCUGACCCAUAACGACUGGCAACAGUUUUUCCUACACGAUUUCAUUAAGGGUAAUCCAAUCUUUUCUAUUUCUUUACACUAUUCCAUGACUUAAAAACCUUUUUUGGCCCUAAUUCCAUCAGUUAACACAUCAUAAAUAUCACUCUUCUCUUUAAACUCCCAAGUCAAGAGCAAAGCUAGGGUUUCUAGGGAUCUAUCAUCUAGGCAUCAAUUGGUGAUUUUCUCUUUAUAAUUCUUGGUUACUAGGCAUAUAUCUCUUCCCUAAUUUUUUUUAUACAAAGCAUAUGUUUAAAUUCUUAUCCAUGUGGUUUUAAUUGUUGUAUUUUGAAUAUGGGUUGAGGGAUUUGGAAUAGUUGUUGCAUAAAUUGAGUUCCCAUGGUUUUGAAUAAUCUUUCAUGUUUAUUCUUAUGGUUUUGAACUAAAUUAAUGCAUAGUCUUGGGAAUUGGAAUGGGGAACAUGGGUUUCCCCCAAAUUUAUGGUUUAAUAGUUUGGAAUUGGCUUUAACAUCAACCCAACUAAUGAAAUUAGUUUUGAUACAUGGAUACAUGCAUAAUUGAACUUACUUGUGGAAUCUCACAUUGCAUAAAAGGUUAAUGGGACUUAAAAUGGUUUUUGAAAGGCCUUGGUGGCCAUAGAUUGGUUUUGAAUUUGAAACUUUUGAGUCAAAUUUGGAUAUUUGGUUUUGGAAUGGCAUAAUGGAAUUGGCUUUCAAGCUUAGAUUUAUUUGGUAUUGCGAUACCAGUGGCAAUUCCUAAUAAAAAGACUUCUUGGUUAAUAGAUUAGAAUAUAUAAAUGGUUUUAAUUUGAGCUUAAAGGGGAUUGUGUAGCUCAUCGUGGAAGGUGGAGGUCCCAUAGAGACCAAUAUUUGAAACCACAUUUGUUGGCAUGGGGUCUUGGAGAUCGUGUGUAUAAAAAACACACACACACACUAUAUAUAUAUAUAUGCAUAUAUAUAUAUAUAUUAGAAUGGCUUAGGUCGUGGAUUCCCUGGACCUUCCUCUAAUUUUCUUGGUUUGCGAGACCAAUAUGCACUGGAACCCUUUUAGUAGGGAGAGCUAAGCCUAUAUAGCUCAUGGGUUCCCUUAGGAUGGUUAGAGCUACACAGUACAGGUUAAUGAUUUUAAAUCUUAUGCUUAAACCUUGUUUCUUAUCCCGGCAUCUUAUAUAUAUGUAUGUAUGAAUGUGUGAAUAUGGUUUAUGAAUGGUUUUGGACUGAUUUGAUUAUGGCCAUUUUUUAUCAAUUCCUUGAGUUACAUACUAGUUCUUAUCCAACUAACCCUCCUGGGAUGCUAUAUUGUUUCAUGAUGUAGGGUCCUAGGGGUUCUUCGGUUACUUUGUGCAGAGUUAGAUGGUUUUGGUUUUUUAGUUAUUUUUUUCAAAGUAGUGAGCCUCCAUCAUCCAAAAAGACGAACAUUUCAUUGCGUUUUUUAUGUUUCUAGAAAUCCCAUCGAUUUUUUUUCAUACUUUUGGAUCAUCUUUUGGCCAUGGUCAGGCGCAUGUCCUGACCUAACUUGGUAUUUCGAUUUAGAGGCUUUUGUGGACAAAGUGUGGGUUGGAUAUAGGUUGAUGAUUUGUAUUUUUCAUUUUAUUAUCUAUUCACUCUAUUAUUAUGCCUUAUUAUCUUCUGCUCUUUGUUUUUGUUAUGUUUUGUUUGCUAGGUUAAGGGGUGAUCUCCGGCUCUCAGUGGGCUUGAGAUACCUGUCACAACCAGGCCCUAAUUAGGAUUGUGACAGCAGAGUAGCAUGGAGAGGUUACCAUAGUCACACUCUAAAGAAAGUGAUAUGUUUUUCUUAGGACUUCUCGAUUGGUCGAAUAGGGACAUUUAGUAUACUUUGCAUAUGUUUGGGAUACUAGCAUGAGACUUCGAUGGUUAAGUCUAUUCCAGUCGUGAGUGAUUUUUCUGAGGUCUUUCCAAGAGACCUACCAGGUCUUCUACCUGAUCGUGAUAUUAAAUUUUCUAGUGACUUGUAAUAGUGUAUUCAACCCUUUUUUAUUACGCCAUACCGGAUGACACCUGACUAAUUGAAAGUGUUGAAGGAGCAUUUAUAGGAUUAAUUGAGCAAGGGGUUCAUUAGUUCGAGUGUAUAUUCUUGGGUUGAGCUGAUGUUAUUUUUGAAGAGGAAGUAUGGGUCUAUGUGAAUAUGUGUUGACUAUCGGUAAUUGAAUAAGUUUACAGUCGGGACAAGUACCUGAUACCUUAUAUUGAUGAUUUGUUUGAUUAGCUAUAGGUUGCUUUAAUUUUCUCUAAGAUUGACUUGAGAUCUGAUUAUUAUUAUUUGAAGAUUAGGCCAGAAAAUAUCCCAAAGAUAUUUUUUUUGACAUAUUACGCCAUUAUGAAUUUCUAGGUAUGUAUUUUGAGCUGACUAAUUCCCAACACCUUUUAUGGACUUAAUGAAUGUGUGUCCAGACCAUACUUAAAUUCUUUUUUUAUUAUUUUCAUUGAUGCUAUAUUGAUAUAGUCCCCUAGUAGGGAGGAAAAUGAGCAUCAUUUUAGGAUUGUACGUGGAAUUUUAAAGGAGAAGAUGCUCCAUGCAAAGUUUCAAAAUGUGAUUUUAGCUUAAUUCAUUGGCAUUCUUGGGGUACGCAAUAUAUAAAAAUUGUUAUGAUUGAUCCCAAAAAGAUUGAGGCGGUUCAUGAUUGGAUCAGACCUACUUCAACUAUGAGAUCUGGAGUUUCUUAGGGCUUGCUGCUUAUUACUGGAGAUUUGUGGAGUGGUUUUCAUCUAUUGCAUCCCCAUUGAAUAACACUAAAAAAAAUGUUUUUAGCAACGGAUGAAAUCCAUUGCCAUACCAAUAAAAUCCAUCACUAAAGUCGUUUAGUGAUAGAAUUGUGUCUGUUAGUAAAGCGAGCGUAGCUAAGCCUUUAGUGAUAAAUUUUGGAGUUUUUCGUUCAGUUUAGUACUGUAUUAGCAACAUAUUAUUUUUUCACUAAUUUUAUCAGUGGACAUUUCCAUAGCUAAUAGAUAUAAAUUUAUCGCUUGUUUGCCUAUUGACUUCAUCAGCAACAAAUGUUAGCUCUAGAAAUUCCGUAGCUAUUCCAUUGCAAUUUAUAUAAUAUUAUUGUUCAUUCUUAUAUUUUUUUUAUAUAAUAUAUUAAAAGUGUGAAAGCCUUUUGAAAAGUGAUUUGAACUUUUUGUCCAUCAUUAAAAAACUUUGUUUUAGACAAAAUUGUCUUUUUACUAUUUUUCAAAUUUUUAAAAGUUAAAAUUUAUUAAAAUUAGUUAUUAAACCAUUCCUUAUUUGGAUUAUGUACCUAAAAUUUAGGAUUAAAUUUUUUACCUUGAAUAAAUCUUUAAUUAAUUCAAUUAAUUGGGCAUACUCGCAUAUAUUUUUUUGAAGUUGUAUUUGAAUGAAAAUUGACAACUCUCUAAUAGUACUCUAAUUGUAUCCUAAUGGACAACUAAAAAAUUAUGAAAUUGUUAUAAAAUAAGAAAGAAUAAAGAAGAAGAGUAGAGAAAACAGAGAGUGUAAUUCUUAUUUCUUCUCUUGAGGGAUGAGAGAUCAUAAGAUUAUAAAUAUAAUGAACAAAACCCCUCUAUUUAUAGGAAAAAUUUACUCCUAGUCUGAGUAAAAGACGGAUGCUUCAAAUCCUAAUAGAUAUCAAAAUAGAUCUUGAUAGACAUUCACUAUAAUGUAAAUACAUUUAUAACACUCCCCCUUGAAUGUCUAAUUGGUAGAUAAUGUGCCUCGUUAAAACCUUACUAGAAAAAAUCAAUAAGAAAAAAAUCUAGUGAAGGAAAAAGAUUACACAUCUCUAACAAUACGCAUAUAGGCUGCCUCAUUAAACACCUUACAAGAAAAACCCGGUGGGACAAAACCUUGAAAGGGAAAAAGAGUACAGCGCGUAUUUGUUCCGCCUAAUAAGAACAUCCUUGAACUUUUACAUCCCGAUCUUGUGCAGCACUUUCUUGAAAGUUGCAAUUCAAGAAGAUUUGGUGAAUAAAUCAAUCACAUUGUCAGUUGAACGAAUCUGUUGCAUGUUAAUAUCAUCAUUCUUUUGUAGCUCAUGUAUGUAGAAAAGCUUUGACAAAAUGUGCUUUGUUCUAUCUCCAUUUAUGAAUCCUCCCUUAAGAUGUGCUAUGUAUAUUAAAUUAUCUCUAUAUAAAAUUGUGGGUAGAUUAUCAUAUUUCACACCACAUUUUUCUCAAAUGAGAUGUAUCAUAGACCUCAACCAUACACAUUCCCGGUUUGCUUCAUGAAUAGCUAUUUUCUCAGCAUGAUUCGAUGAAGUGGUUACGAUAGACUGCUUUGCAUAUCUCCAAGAUAUGGCAGUACCACCACAUAUGAAAACAUAGCCUAUUUAAGACCGAACUUUAUGUGGGUCAUAUAAGUACCCAACAUCAGCAUGACCAAUAAGAUCGGGACUGCAAUCUUUAGAAUAAAAUAAGCUCAUGUGUUUUAUUCCAUUUUGAUGUCUCAUAGUAGGAGCAAAAAUAUACCUAGCUAACAAAUUGACUGAAAAGGCUAUAGGCCUUGUAGUAUUUGCAAGGUACAUGAGUGCAUCAAUUGCACUAAGAUAUGGUACUUCAUAACUAAUCUAAUUCGAUAUAUUUCAAAUUUCAGCAAAUAAUCUAUUUCUUUGAAAACUCUCCAAGAGUUCCAAUGAUGUUCAAGCAAUAAGCUUAUACAAUAUAAGGAUUAUAAAUAAGUUUCCCAGAAACUUUUAUAUGCUUCAAGCAGUUUGAAUGCUUAAAACUUUUCACAUAAGUUUUGUCAAGUGACAAUAUUCAAUAUUUCAUAAGUGACAUCUUCAAAUAUCUUGGCUGCCAAUCAAAUAAGUUUAAUACUUACCAAGAUGCAUCCUUUCAUAUCACUUGAUAAAUGUUUCUACGUCAGCAUGCUUAAAUAAACGUAGAAUUCAGAUCUUCGUAAUCUUUCACAAUAUUGUGUCAAAGAUAUUGAUGAUAUAUUAUUUUGUAUCGGUUCAUAAUGUGACAUAACAUUUUGAGAUCUCAUCACUUCAUUAUUUUCAGGCACAUGAACCUUACAUAAGGUUUCAUGAAAUGUUAUGUCGUAGGCUCUUCAAGAGUUCAUUGCCUUCUUAUUAUGAUUAUUUACUACUUAUUUUUCAAGGACUAUUUUUUUUGGAACCGAUUAGUCUACCACGCUUCACGCAUGCAUAGACUCUGUCCUUUAGGAACACAAAAUAAGAACACUUGCGUUUAAUAUGAGAUGCUUUGGGCAUUUCACUUGAAUUAUCUUUUGGAUAAGGAUCUGGUGAUAAUUCCUAACAUAUUUCAUAGCUCUUAUAAUCUCCCCCUUAUGUUAGGAAAACUAACAUACAUCCUCUACUUCUUUGAGGAAUCCAUCGUUGUGCAUUAUGGUAUAUUCAUUAAUCGUAUACCGCACAUCAAAAUUAUUANNNNNNNNNNNNNNNNNNNNNNNNNNNNNNNNNNNNNNNNNNNNNNNNNNNNNNNNNNNNNNNNNNNNNNNNNNNNNNNNNNNNNNNNNNNNNNNNNNNNNNNNNNNNNNNNNNNNNNNNNNNNNNNNNNNNNNNNNNNNNNNNNNNNNNNNNNNNNNNNNNNNNNNNNNNNNNNNNNNNNNNNNNNNNNNNNNNNNNNNNNNNNNNNNNNNNNNNNNNNNNNNNNNNNNNNNNNNNNNNNNNNNNNNNNNNNNNNNNNNNNNNNNNNNNNNNNNNNNNNNNNNNNNNNNNNNNNNNNNNNNNNNNNNNNNNNNNNNNNNNNNNNNNCAUAAACAAUUCUUGAAGAAUCUUCUAGUUCUUUAAUACAUGCACAUCUUUGAGAUGUCAUAAUCGUUCAUAUCAAUUUAUGAACUUUUAUUCUAGUAAACUCCAAGUUUACCAUGACAUGUACUUUUUCUUUAGUAAAUUUCAGAUUUACUAUUACAUGAAUAAAUUUCAGAUUUACUACUUCAGAAGUAGAUUGCAAAAUUAUUCAACCUCUUUCGAAGGUGAGUUGUGAUCAAGUGCAGGUUUGCAUUACUAAGUUUCUCAUUCCUCAGGAAUGGAAUAUAAUUGUGCCUUAAGUCUAUCAAAUUAUGAUAGCUUAUAACAUCUUUCAAAAUUUUGCUACUUCAGAAGCAAAUCGAGGCAUACAUAUAAUGUAGAGAAUUUUUCUCUAGCAUAUCUUAUAAUCAUAUAAGUGUGUGAAAAUAUCAUCACUUUCAUAUUGUCCCUUCACGCGUAUAUUCGUGCAUUCAAUCACUUGUUUUCUUUCUUAUAUAUUAUGCACUGCUACCACAUACACCUCAAGAAUGAAGUAAGUUGUCAUAUUUCAGACUUAGCUUAUAUUGCUACCACAUUCACUUCAUGGAAUAGAGCAUAUUCAAUGGGUCGAAUUUCAUGAAUUUUCAUCAAAUAUCCAUUAUUGUGCCUUAGCCAUCAUAAUAUAUCAAUAUGGUGAAUUGAGAUUCAAACUCAACGUCUUAUCCAUUUAAAGGCGUCUUAGGCAUAAUUCGAUGGGACUUGAACCCAACAUAUUAUCAUCUCUUUUGAUAAUAUUGUUCUUGAGAAAUAACUUCAAAAUAUAAAUGGUUCCAAACUAAUUAUUUUUCCUCAAAUCCAACAAUAAUUAUAUUAUUAGUAGCAAAAGACAGAUAACAUAAGGAAUUAUUAACCUUGAAAUUACCGUUAGAUUUAUAAUCUUACCUUAUUUGGUAGAAUCUCUUGUUGAUAAUCUAAAUUAGUUAGAGACUCGAAAACUUGUGUAGCCACAUAUGAAUAGAUCUCAAUUGGUAAGAGAUUUCGUGCUGAUAACGUGUUAUAAAAUAUAAAGAAAGAACAAGAAGAAUAAAUAGAGAGAGAAGAAUGAGACUUCUUUAUUUUUCUUGAUGGGUGAGAGAUCAUAAGAUUGUAAAUACAAUGAACAAAACCUCUCUAUUUAUAGAAAAAAUUUACUCCUAGUCUGAGUAAAAGACAGAUGCUUCAAAUCCUAAUAGAUAUCAAAAUAGAUUUUGAUAGAUCUUGAUAGACAUUCACUAUAAUAUAAAUACAUUUAUAACAGAAAUUUUUUAAUAACAAAUUUUGUUUAUAUAACCUUAAUGUCCCUUUCUUUUCUCUUCAAAACUCAAGUUCUAUAGUUAUUUUUUUCUUGGUGCACGUGUCAUUAUAUUUUGGGUAAAGUUUUGUUCAUUAUUAAUUUUAAUUAGAAUUUCUUUAUGUUUAGCUAUUUAAUCUAGGGUAGAAAUCAUAAUAUUUUAUACUUUUAAAUUCAUUAAAAUUUUACCUUAUUUAUAAAAAAAAAUAUAUAAUUCUAUUUACGUUAUAUUUGGAUCAAAAUAUGCAAGUGACAUACUCUUAGUUUAUGUUUUCUUCUUAUUUUGAUAUUGAUUCGAGUUGUUGUUUUUUUAUAUACUUUUUUUUAUAUCCAUUGUUGUCAUUUUUAUUCCUUAAUAAUGAAUUCUAUCCUUUUGAUAAUUUCUUGUGUUUUUCUUUCUGUUGGAUAUUUCUGAUCAAAAAUUAUAAGAAAUAAGCAUGUUACCGCCGAAUUAAGUGAUAAAAAAAGUCAAAGGUUUGUCUCUUUCCUUUUUCUCUUUCUUUAUUUAUUUGCGGCUUUGUUUUAAUUAUGCAAUUUAUUAUAUUUUGCAAUAUUAUUUGUUGGCAUUAUAGUUGAAUAAGGUUAUAGUCGACUCUUCUAAUUUGAGGCCUACAAAUUAAGGCCUUAUUAAAAUAAUAUUUUUUAAGAAUUGGAGUUGAAGUUGGAGUAGGUGUUGUGUUUGAACAUAAAAAUAAAUUGGAGUUAUUUUUAAAAUUUUGUGAGAGAGAUGGGAGUGAAAACAAGUUUAACUUGUUUUAACUUUUUCAAAAAUAAUUUUCACUAAAGUGAAAUAAUUCAUAUGGUCAAACAUGCUACUAAUUUGAAUUUUCUUUUAAUUAAAGUGACAUAAUAAUAAUAAUAAUAAUAAUAAUAAUAAUAAUAAUAAUAAUAAUAAUAAUUAAAAAAAAUAGAUUUUGUAGGAAAGGCAAAUAAGAAAAAAAAAACUAAACGUGAAGAGUGAGAAGGCACGGAAAGAUCCAUCGAAAAAAAUAGAUUUUUGGGCAAAUUUUAAUCAAAACCUGUAGAAAUUAGGAUUUGGUUGAAUAUAUCUAUCUAUUUAUCUAUCUAUCUAUCUAUCUAUCUAUCUAUCUAUCUAUCUAUCUAUCUAUCUAUCUAUCUAUCUAUCUAUCUAUCUAUCUAUCUAUCUAUCUAUCUAUCUAUCUAUCUAUCUAUCUAUCUAUCUAUAUCUAUAUCUAUAUCUAUAUAUAUAUAUAUAAUUUAUAUAUAAUAUAAUAAUAAUAAUAUAUUAAAAGUGUGUAGGUCCUUAGAAAAGUGAAUUGAACUUUUUGCCCUUCAUUAAAAUAUUCCGCUUUAGAUAAAAUCGUCUUUUGGCUUUUUUUCUUAAUAUUUUAAAAUUAUAAAUUAAUUAAAUAUAUUUAUGGUAAAAAAAAUAAAAAUAGUGAUUAAUAUUAAUGUUAUAAAUGGAUAAAAUAGUGGGAAGAGUCCAAAACUUAGCAGGAGACCUUUUUUGGGUAAAAAUUCACGUAGCUUUUUUCAAAAAUCCAAAACAGUUUUGACUUAUUUUUUUCUUCAUUAAAUUUUUAUUUUAGACAAAAUUAUAUUUUUACCUAUUUUUUCUUAAUUUAUUAUAUCAUUAUAUUUAUAAUAUUUACAAUUAAGAAGCCAUUACAAAAGUGAAUUAAACUUUUUGCCCUUCAUUAAAAUAUUCCGCUUUAGACAAAAUUAUUUUUUUACUAUUUUUUCUUAAUAUUUAAAAAUUAUAAAUUAAUUAAAUAUAUUUAUGAUAAAAAUAAUAAAAAUAGUGAUUAAUAUUGAUGUUAUAAAUGGACAUAAUAGUGGGAAGUGUCCAAAACUUAGUAGGAGACCUUUUUUGGGUAAAAAUUCACGUAGCUUUUUUCCAAAAAUCUAAAACAGUUUUGACUUAUUUUUUUCUUCAUUAACAUUUUUAUUUUAGAUAAAAUUAUAUUUUCACCUAUUUUGAACAUUUUACAUUAUAAAAAUUAGAACAUUUAAAAUUUUACCAUAUAUAUGACAGCCUCUUAGAAAAGUGAAUUGAACUGUUUUCCCUUCAAUAAAAUACUCCUCUUUAGACAAAAUUGUCUUUUCACAAUUUUUUUCUAAUAUUUAAAAAUUAUAUAAUAUUAAAAGUAUGGAGAAACUUAGAAAAGUGAUUUGAAAUUUUUGCCCUUCACUAAAAAUUUUCGCAAUAGACAAAAUUAUCUUUUUACUUAUUUUUUCUAAUUAUUAUAUUACUAUAAUUAAAAUAUUUUUUUAAAAAAUAUUAACAUAUAUGGUAAGAGAUAGUAGAAAAUUAAUAAUUAAAGAGUCAUGAAAUAUAUGGUAAGAAUAUAUAUAUGUAUUUUUAUAAUUAAGGGAUUUCUAAAAUAUAUAGUAAGAGAAAAAUAUAUAUGGUAAAAAAAUAUUAAUAAUUAAUAUCGAGUACAAUUCAUGAGUUUUGCUAAGAGAUAUAUAUGGUAAAAAAAAACUCAACAAUUUAGCUUUUGUUUCGUCGAGUGGGACAAGUAAAUCGGGAGUAUAACACUAAUAAAAUCCCAAUUAGCUAUCUAGCUAGCUUAUAAAUAGACCAACCAGGCUUAACAAAUUGUCCCAUUGUCAAACAAUAGAAGUUAUUGCUGUCACUUUCAACCAGCCUUCCUCUUCUUCUUUCACCUCUGUUAGAUUGAUUAUCAAGCAACAAGGACUAGCACUAGAAUAUCAAGACAGAAGAAUGAUUCUUGUUCUUGAUACACAAGGUAUGUUCGAUAUUGUAAUGGGUAUUAUUUGUGACAAGUUUGAAAGAUUAAACAUCAAUAGGGGCACUAUUACGUUACAUCUUUGUUUUUAUCUUUUUAUUAAUGAUCUGUACUAGUGUAAUUCGCAAUUUCAAGGACUACAAAUUAAUAGUAAAGAAUUUGAUAUCCCACUUGAUUCUACCAUAUCAUAUGAUGUUGUCUACUCUGACGGUGCUAUCAAAAUAUGACAACUGGGGUGGUGAAGAAUUCUGUAGAAAUUAUCAUCAACUUGUCAUCCAUGAUACCAUAAGCAAAACUGUUGAAAUCGUGAAUGUUGAAUCUAACAAGGAUCUUCAAUACUUGAAGGUUCUGGUUUAAGUGCAGUUAAAAAUUUAACCUAUCCUGAAAUUUAGUGAUACUUUUAAGCCUGUAAAUUGUCUAAAUGUGAUUUAUCACUUCACUAUUUGUAACUUGAUAUAUUAUUCGAACCAAAUUUUUUUCUUAUUAUAUUAUGCUCAAGCAAUUUGGAGGGCAGAGAAGCUAUCUGCCACAUGAUGUAAUUCUCGUGAAGUCUUGCUGUAACUAAUAGCUGAAUAUCAAUAUCCGUUAUCUAGUGACAGUGAAAGGUGGUUGAACAUCUCGUGUUUGGCAUCCCUAUCAGCAGUGAUGAAUUGUAAUCUGAGCACAACUUAUAUGCUCAUCGAUAUUCACUCAUAGGUUUCUCAUUUUUUUUAUUAACUCAUUUUUGUUGCCUCUUUAUUUAGGUUUUUGGUUAUUAUUUCAAAAAUUUUAAAGAGAAAAAAGAUAGUUUAGGUUGGAAUAGUGUGCAUUGCAGCAGUUCGAUAUUUUUGUAACUAAGGUUAAAAAAGCUAAAACAAAAAAAAUAUAUAUUUAGGGUUCAUCAAAAGCAAGAUGACAAUGGUAAUCAAUCUUCUUUAUUCUAAAUUUCUAUUUAAUUUUUCACUCAUAGAGAAAAAUAAUUUAAUUAAAUCAAUUUUAUGUGUCUUAUUAUUAUUUUUUGAAUGAGUACAGAUGAAACAGAUGAGAGUACAUAUGGAUUGUGCCAGAUGUAAGAGCAAGACUGAAAAAUCUCUAAAGUUUGAGGUAAAUUAAAUCCUUCUAUGAUUUCAAAUUGUGAUAAAGUAUUUAUUUUGAACAAGCUCUAUAUAAUUGCUUGCAAUUGCGAUUUGUUUUGGAUUCAGUUUUAUUUUAAGAACUAGAAUGAGACGAAGAUUGUCGACUUCAAAGAGGAG